ACGCUCGACACCUACGGGAGGCGGCAGUGGGGAAUAUUGCACAAUGGGGGAAACCCUGAUGCAGCGACGCCGCGUGGAGGAAGAAGGUCUUCGGAUUGUAAACUCCUGUUGUUGGGGAAAAAGAGGAUGGUACCCAACAAGGAAGUGACGGCUAACUACGUGUCAGCAGCCGCGGUAAUCUGAGCGGGCUGGCAAGGC
rnacentral:rRNA from 1 species